GAUCAUGGCUCAGGAUGAACGCUAGCUACAGGCUUAACACAUGCAAGUCGAGGGGAAACGACAUCGAAAGCUUGCUUUUGAUGGGCGUCGACCGGCGCACGGGUGAGUAACGCGUAUCCAACCUGCCCACCACUUGGGGAUAACCUUGCGAAAGUAAGACUAAUACCCAAUGAUAUCCCACGAAGGCAUCCGAAUGGGAUUAAAGAUUUAUCGGUGAUGGAUGGGGAUGCGUCUGAUUAGCUUGUUGGCGGGGUAACGGCCCACCAAGGCAACGAUCAGUAGGGGUUCUGAGAGGAAGGUCCCCCACAUUGGAACUGAGACACGAUCCAAACUCCUACGGGAGGCAGCAGUGAGGAAUAUUGGUCAAUGGGCGAGAGCCUGAACCAGCCAAGUAGCGUGCAGGAUGACGGCCCUAUGGGUUGUAAACUGCUUUUAUAAGGGAAUAAAGUGGGUCACGUGUGACUUUUUGCAUGUACCUUAUGAAUAAGGACCGGCUAAUUCCGUG
rnacentral:rRNA from 1 species